UACGUAGGGUGCAAGCGUUGUCCGGAAUUAUUGGGCGUAAAGAGCUCGUAGGCGGUCUGUCGCGUCGAAUGUGAAAACCCGUGGCUCAACCAUGUGGUCUGCAGUCGAUACGGGCAGGCUAGAAUUCGGUAGGGGAGACUGGAAUUCCUGGUGUAGCGGUGAAAUGCGCAGAUAUCAGGAGGAACACCGGUGGCGAAGGCGGGUCUCUGGGCCGAUAUUGACGCUGAGGAGCGAAAGCUAGGGGAGCGAACAGG
rnacentral:rRNA from 1 species